rnacentral:rRNA from 1 species
ACGCUCGACACCUACGGGAGGCAGCAGUUGGGAAUAUUGGACAAUGGAGGAAACUCUGAUCCAGUGACGCCGCGUGAAGGAAGAAGGUCUUCGGAUUGUAAACUUAUUUUGUCAGGGAAGAAAAAUGACUGUACCUGAAGAAAAAGCACCGGCUAACUACGUGCCGGCAGUCGCGGUAAUCUGAGGCGGGCGUGGCGAAGGCG